AUGUACAAAAUAUUUGUCAGGUACUUUGUUAUAAUUGAUGACUCAUGGGCUACAUCACUAUGGGAUGUGGUUAGUCGCGCUUUUCCACAGAGUAAUAGUUGCAGCAGAAUAAUAACUACGACAGAAAUUAUGGAAGUAGCUCUCGCAUGUCGCUGUUUUUGCCCUGAGCAUAUUUUUAAAAUGGAACCUCUUAGUGAUGAUGACUCAGAGAAAUUACUGCUCCAACGAAUGCUUGUCCCAGGAAAUCAAAGUCCUCAACAAUUUGAUGAUGUUAUACCUCAGAUUAUGAGAAGUUGUGGUGGCUUGCCACUAGCAAUCAUCAUUGUAGCCAGAAUUUUAGCAAGCCAACCUGAGAAGCUAGAGCAAUGGGGCAGUACACAGAAUUCUUCUGGUUCCAUUUUCGGGGCAAAUCCUAGCAUGGAAGGGUUUAUGGGACGAAUAUUGAACAUUUGCUUCAUUAGUCUUCCACAUUAUUUGAAGACAUGUCUGCUCCAUCUUAGUACAUAUCCAGAGGGCUAUCUAUUCUUGAAAUAUGACGUAGUGAAGCAAUGGGUGGCUGAUGGUUUUAUAUGUGCAAACGAAGGUCAAGACAUGGAGGAAGUUGCCGGGAGCUAUUUUGAUGAACUUGUCAGUAUGGGCCUUAUCCAAGUUAUGGAUAUCAGCUGCGAUUUUGAGUCGUUGUCUUAUUCAGUACACCAGCUGGUACUUCAUCUCAUUACAUACAAGUCCGUUGAAGAGAACUUCAUCACUGUAGUGGAUUAUUCGCAAACAACAAUACCACUUGCUGAUAAAGUUCGUCGAUUGUCGCUCCACUUCGGCAGUGCAACAUGUGCAACUACACCAGAAAGCACCAGAUUAUCGCAAGUUCGAUCACUUUUCUUUUCUGGCCUGUUUAACUGCAUGCCUUCAUUCGUGGUGUUUAAGCUUCUUCGAGUUCUAAUACUUCAUCUUUGGGAUGAUACUGGAACCAAGACAUUGAACCUCACAGGAAUUUGUGAACUUUUUCGGUUGAGAUAUUUGCAGGUCACAUGUAAUGUCACUGUAAAGCUACCAGAUAAGAUUGAAGGGAUGAAACACCUAGAAACACUGGAAAUAAACACACAGGUACUUGAUAUUCCACUGGACAUUGUUAGACUUCCGAGCUUGUUGCAUCUUUGUCUUCGAGGUGCAAAUCUACCUAGUGGGAUUGGGUGCAUCAGAUCUCUACGUACACUCAUGUAUUUUGACCUUGGCAAUAGCUCUGAAGACAACCUAUGGGACCUUGGUGAGCUGACAAACCUGAGGGAUCUUCAUCUCCCAUUUUCUUCAUCACUCUCUAGUGAACAUUUGAAAAGAAAUCUGAUAGCUCUGGCCUCUUUACUUGGGAAACUUUGUAACCUCAAAUCUCUCACUCUGGCUGCUGGUACUGCUGGAACGGUGGUUCUUUUUGAUGUUUCAAGCGGCAUGUAGGCCCCCAUCUUUCUCGAGAGACUUGAGUUGCUGCCGCACAUUUGCAUCUUGUCCAGACUUCCCAAGUGCAUCGGACAACUCCACAAAAUCUGCAUUAUGAAAGUUGCUGUCAGAGAACUGCCGAUGAGUGAUAUUGCUAUCCUCACAGGAUUACCUUCUCUCACAGUUCUUUGGCUGUCUGUUCAGACAGCUCCUGGGGGAAGGAUCGUCUUCAGCGACAGGGCAUUCUCCGUUCUCAAGUAUUUCAAGUUUAGAUGUGGUGUACUUUGCAUGUCUUUCAUGGCAGGAACCAUGCCCAAUCUUCGUAGGCUCAAGCUAGGUUUCAACGCCCAUAUCGGGGAGAAGUAUGAAAACAUGCUAGCCGGAAUUGAGCACCUUUUAACUCUCCAGUACAUUGCUGCACAAAUUGGAGCUACCACUGAAUCAGACUGGAGGGCAGCAGAGUCAGCGAUCAACAAUGCCAUUGACAAGCACCCAAGGUUUCCUAGAAGUAACUUACAGUGGGUGGAUCCGAUAGAGGAAGAAUGUCGUCCUUCAGAGAAACAUCAUUGGAGCCAAGAAAAAGGCACAUUAGGU
rnacentral:rRNA from 1 species